UACAGAGGUCCCGAGCGUUGUUCGGAUUCACUGGGCGUAAAGGGUGCGUAGGUGGCGGGGUAAGUCUGAUGUGAAAUCUCCAAGCUUAACUUGGAAAUGGCAUUGGAAACUACCUUGCUCGAGGGUUGGAGGGGGGACUGGAAUGCUUGGUGUAGCAGUGAAAUGCGUAGAUAUCAAGCGGAACACCAGUGGCGAAGGCGAGUCCCUGGACAACUCCUGACACUGAGGCACGAAAGCUAGGGGAGCAAACAGG
rnacentral:rRNA from 1 species